rnacentral:rRNA from 1 species
AGAAGCUUGCUCCUGUGGAUCAGUGGCGAACGGGUGAGUAACACGUGAGCAACCUGCCCCUGACUCUGGGAUAAGCGCUGGAAACGGCGUCUAAUACUGGAUAUGAGCUGCGACCGCAUGGUCAGCAGUUGGAAAGAUUUUUCGGUCUGGGAUGGGCUCACGGCCUAGCAACUUGUUGGUGAGGUAAUGGCUCACCAAGGCGUCGACGGGUAGCCGGCCUGAGAGGGUGACCGGCCACACUGGGACUGAGACACGGCCCAGACUCCUACGGGAGGCAGCAGUGGGGAAUAUUGCACAAUGGGCGAAAGCCUGAUGCAGCAACGCCGCGUGAGGGAUGACGGCCUUCGGGUUGUAAACCUCUUUUAGCAGGGAAGAAGCGAAAGUGACGGUACCUGCAGAAAAAGCGCCGGCUAACUACGUGCCAGCAGCCGCGGUAAUACGUAGGGCGCAAGCGUUAUCCGGAAUUAUUGGGCGUAAAGAGCUCGUAGGCGGUUUGUCGCGUCUGCUGUGAAAUCCCGAGGCUCAACCUCGGGUCUGCAGUGGGUACGGGCAGACUAGAGUGCGGUAGGGGAGAUUGGAAUUCCUGGUGUAGCGGUGGAAUGCGCAGAUAUCAGGAGGAACACCGAUGGCGAAGGCAGAUCUCUGGGCCGUUACUGACGCUGAGGAGCGAAAGGGUGGGGAGCAAACAGGCUUAGAUACCCUGGUAGUCCACCCCGUAAACGUUGGGAACUAGUUGUGGGGUCCAUUCCACGGAUUCCGUGACGCAGCUAACGCAUUAAGUUCCCCGCCUGGGGUGAAUC